UUUUUUUUUUUUGUGUUUUUUUUUUAAAGAGUUUAUAUUUUAGGCCAUAGCUUCCUUAGGCUUCACUUUAGCGGGAGCUACUUCUAUCAUCUCACAUCUGAUAUUGCAAACUCUGUCCACGGAGAGUUAUAAAGGGAAAUGACUACAUAUGCAUUCAAACUGGGACAAGCAGAAGCUAUAUUCUCAGACUGAAAGCCAGAAGUUAUGUUGGCACUUUCCUCAACAGCUAUAUUGUACCUUGUUUCUCAUUAGCAUGACCUCUCAUUUCUAAGUUUUGCUGUUGUUGCUGUUGUUAAAAGAGCAAUUCCUCCUCUGCGGAGAUCAUCACUGGGCCUUUUACCUCUAGAGAAUCAAGUGUCCGACUCAAGAAAUUACAAAUCCCCAUGCAAUACUUGCCAUGAAACAAAAGAAAGAAUUUUAGGCAUAAAGGAAAGACCAUGGACUCAGGAGUUCAACGGAUAAUGGUUUUUUAAAAGCUGGUUUGGCGUCUUAAAAGGCCUGCUUGUGAGAACUGGAAGAAGUUACUUGAUUUUUCUUGGUCUCAUUUUCUGCAUUUAUAAAAUGAAAGUAAUAGCAUGUAGCCUGCACUGUUGUCACAAUAAUAGAGAAAAUAUAAGGUGUGUAGCUCGUUUAUGAAAAUAGAAAGUGCCCGUGAAUGGAAGUUAUUAUAUUUUAUAUUCAAUGAAAGAAAUUUUUUCACAUUAUGGUUCACUCCUUAUUACAGGUACAUGAGCAGGCAUGAAUCAAAAAAUACUCUGGGGUCUUCCCGAGAGAAAUUCUAAUUCUGCCUUAGGAAUCAAAGAGAAAUGAGGGGAAAAAAAUCGUGAAAAUUGAGUCAAUAAGGAAAUGUCGUUCUACAUUCUUUAAUCUACAUUUAAAAUUAUUUGCAGUGCCAAUUUCCAUAAGCCAGCCUCCAAAGUGCCAUUAUUUAUAAAAACUAUAUUGCAUCAACUGAAUUAUGUAUAGUAUUCCAAAGGACAAAUAUACUGAUAAUUUGAAGUCAGUGACCUAAUCACAAAUAUUCGAUUUCUCCAAAUUCUAUUAAACGAGGACACAAUCCAUUCACUCUCGCAGGCACUGAAAAAGCUUCCCUCCCCCUCUCGUUCUCCAGAGCUUCUGGCCUCACUACAGAGCCCACGAGGAAUGCUUAUCGCAAGCAGUCCUGGAAAGGCUGUUCUUUCGUCCCGGCCUCAAGGCUGGUGUGGACGCACCGUGGUGAGGAAGGCUUCUGUGCCAGUGGUAGAACUCAGAACAGCACUGUGGGUCCUGGUGUUACCUGCAGCAGGUCCCAGAUACUGCUCUUAAUGGCUAUGCCACCUUUCAUAACCAUAGAUAUGAAUGUGUGUGUGUGUGUGUGUGUGUGUGUGUGUGUGUGUGUGUGUGUGUGUGUGUGAGAGAGAGAGAGAGAUUCAAUCUGAAUUUAGGAUCAUUCAUUAGUGUAUAGGAAACCACAUCUACAUCCCCCAGCCCAUACCAAUUACCCCACAAUAGCAUCUGUAUCAAAUUGGUAAAAUAAGUCAAUAUGUAAGGAGAAAGAAAGAUUUGCAUCCAGUAAAGACACUGUUGACAAAGAUGCUCUCUUUCUGGCCCUACCAAGAAGUCUCUUUCUAGAAGGCUGCUGGUUGUUUUAAGCAGCUUUAUUGCCGAUCUGUACGUGAAUGUCAUCACUGAAUGGCAACAGUCCAAGGAUUCACAUCACUCCCACUAGAAGGAGAAGCUUCAAUAAAUCUCUAAAGUCAUGGCGGUGGUCCAGUGCCUGUGCCACAUGGCAUAACACCUGCCCCAAGAAGUUUUAUUAAAGUCCCUUAAAGCUCCAAAUAAAAUAAAAAUACCCAGAUGUAAACAAUCAAGUCUUCUUUGCAGUUGGGUUUUCUGAGCUCUGCGUGGUGGCUCUAAAAAUUCCCCAUGCUGUGUGUGUUAAUGAGACCCUCCGUAGGCACUGUUAAUACAUAAAAGCAAUCACCCAUAACUCAUAGGCCUCUUCCUUCUGACUAUGUCUGACUCUCUUCAUUGCAUUUAGCAACUGGAAAUAAAGUGUACGAGAGACAAGUUGGUCUGUAUGUCAGGAGGCAGGAGGACUGACGAUCUAAAAGUAACAACAAAAUUUUAAAAAUCUAUAGGUUCUGGGCACAUUACCUCCAAGGAUUUCUUUCUAAAAGAUCUUGGCAAUUACACACAAGAAUAUAUUAAAAUCAACAGAUAAGUAAACAGCUAUUAAACAAAACUGAAAACUCACUUUAAGUGUAUUCCUAGAGGUCAGAACAAGACAAUUUCUAAAACCUCAUAAAAAGAAUAGCAAGGAAAUUAGAGCAAACUCUUUGCCACAUUCCCUUGCAUUACUUACUGGCCAACAACUCUGCUCAAAUAUUUAGUUCAAUACGUGUAAAUGACAUGAGAAGUGCAAUCAGAAAUGAGCGAUUAGCUUGCCUAGUUUUUUGAAAUGUGGGGGAAUACACUUUAAACUAAAAACUAUAAUGAGGACUUAUAUAAUAUGUCCAUGCAUAGAAAAAUAUCCUAAAUUAUCUCUUAUUGGCAAUAUUUCAUAUUCAGUGUUUAAGUGAAAAAGCUCAUAGGGUUCUAUGAAUUUUAUAGGUAACUCAAAGCAUUAGUAUGGAAAAUGAAAUGGGCCUUGAAGCUUGAAGAAAACCUUAUUUAAAAAUCAUACCCUUCCGAUUUUCUCUUAAAAAUCCAAAAUGGAGGACAGGAUUCCUUCGCCAUAAAGCUCAUCAACAUGCAGAAUUUUCCACUGUCCUCGUAGCAUCUAUCGCCACACCCCCACUCUGGCGGUACUGUAGUCAAUGCUGCUUCUGAACAGGAGCUCUCAAUCUAGGGUGCAGACACCCAGGGGUCUACACGUAGAAUUCAGGGAUAUCUGGAAAUCUUAGAGGAAAAAAAAAAAAAAUCUUUCCUUUGCUAACUUCUCCCUGAAGGUAAUCAUUUCAUUCUAUUGUGAAUGGAGGGAAAAAACCCCCACCACCAAAAACAACACAGUCUUAUCAGCAGUUGCUACGACUCCGUCACCGACAUAAAUUGCAGUACUUUUCCUUUCAACACCACCUUGGAGUUAUGGUCAUUUUUACACUAAGUGUUAGAUCACAACACAUUUUAUACAUUUAGAUAUAUUAUGAAGAAGCACAUAUACAGCACAUCGCAAAUUUUAAAAUAUUCUAAUAAAUAUAUUCUUUAUCUAUAACUGGCUUCCCUUAAAAUCCUAUAGGUUUUAUUCAUUUAAAAUUUUUUUCUGAGAAGGGGCCUAUAGGCGGUAGACGAUUCAUACCAAAGGAAGCCAUGAUGCAAAGAAAAGGUACGAGUGUCUUUUUUACCUUUUUAGGGCCGCACCUGUGGCAGAAGGAGGUUCCCAGGCUAGGGGUCAAAUUGGAGCUGCAGCUGCCGGCCUACACCACAGCCACAGCAACACAGGAUCCAAGCUGAGUCUGCAACCUACACCACAGCUCACUGCAACACCAAAUCCUUAACCAACUUAGCAAGGCCAGGGAUCGAACCCGCAUCCUCAUGGGAACUAGUAAGAUUCGUUUCUGCUGAGCCACAAUGGGAACUCCAUAAGUACCUUUUUCCAAGGAAAUACCACACAUGCAAACAGUGAUGCCAAUACAUAGGGCUUCUGUCACACGACUGUCACCAGACCUGGAGUUACGGCCGUGGUGCUUCUCAUUCCCUCCUGCCUCCUUAGGCUUCCGUUCCUCUUUUCUACCCACUACACAUCCUAAUAUCAUUCCCCUCCAUUGUUUUAAGCAUCCAGGACCAUAUCUCAACUUUUAUCAGGCAGGUUAAAGAGGGAAUCAAUUUCAAUAUAAAAACCUAAGAACCUAUCCAGCUCUUCAAGAACCUUUGGGAGUCAUAUAUCAAGAACAGGGUCAGACGGAGACAACAGUGGGAAGAGGCCACAUGUGUGUUUUUGGAAAUGUCCCCUUAAAAUUUUCUGUAACUCUACCCUUUUUUUAAGUUUUAGCAUAUUCCUGUCUCCUUAAUAGAGUCUAAAUUAUUCUACUCGGAGUAGAAUUUUUUCCCCCCAUAAAUGUAUACACUUUUAUACAGGGGGAAAAAAAAAGCAUGGAUAAAUAAAAUACAAGUAUGUUGUUGGGGCCACUGCACACAGGUGGUGGGUGACAAAAGGUGAUGUAGAAGGGGAGUAAGAUAGAGGUGUUCCCACAGCUGAUGGGUCCCAAGGAAAUCAGGUCCUUUUUUUUCUCAUUAAUGGAGGUCUUAUCCGCCUUAACGCAUCAGUGAUCUGGCGUUGCCAAGAGCUGUGGUGUAUGCUUUAUCAUUUCCUUUUAUUUCCAGAGCAGCGUGAUGGUUAUUAUUUUUUAUUCCUCUAAGCUUUCUAACUACUUGCUCUAUUUUUCAUGCUCAAGGUAAACAAUGACAUCUAAGGGAAAAAAAUAAGAAAAAAAACAAGGUUUUCUCUGAUUCUACUAGUCCUUCAGGCUCUGGUGUAAAAUUAAACCUAGCAUCAUCACAUUGCCAAAUUCAGACUAUGGAUCUUCCUCAUUUAUCAUCAGAUAUAGCUUUAGAGUCAACAAAGGUGAAAAUUAUUUUUGUUUGUCAUAAAAUGUGACAUACACAACAAAAAUGUAGGAUUUCAGGAACUAUUUCACUCUUUCAAGCACUAAUAGAAUAAAAACAAGAGCAAUGCAGAGAUUAUUGACCGAAAGUAGUUGAAAGAAUGGGUAUUGGAGCCGAUCACAGGCAGAUCCAAAUGCCCUGAGUAGAUAUUUCACUAGUAAAAUGUGACCUCUGGCAGGUGACAAUCUCCGGAGCCUUGGUUUCCUCAAGCGUUCUAGCCUCAAAAGCUAUACUCUUUACCAUGAUGGGCACACCACUCCUUUAUAUAAAACAGGAUUAUUAAUCUACCUUGGUAAGCAGAUACGUGGGUAUCCGUGCAUAUCAUCACGUAAAAGAAAUACAUUUCAUAACAAUCUUGACUAGGCAGUUUGAAUAACUAAAAACUGAAGCCGAGGAGGGCAGGCCGGUGUGGCAAGUCUGACUGUCAUUUUAGCUGAAUGAAAAUACACGUGAAACAUCUCAUACCAAGGCUGACACACAGCAAACAUAAAUCACGCUACUUCCUUUUCCUUGGAGCGGGCUCUCAAGAAAGAAAUGGAGUGCCCACAGCAUAUCUAAAAUGAGAGGUAGGAGAACAUUCUCGAUGAGACAGUCAAGGGUGAGAAGCGGCAAUGUCGUACUGCCUUGCUCACAACUUUUUUCCAGGGCUGGCCUGGCAUACACAUUUUCAGUUUAACUGCAUUAAAUGACUUAAUACAACUUACAGUGUAUUAUUUUGCAUUUUGAAUGAUAUUGCUAUUUUUUAAAACGCCCCUUGCCGUAUUCCUCCCCAAACGACAGGUAAGAAAACCAAGGCCAAAAAUGGAUUACCGAUUUUACUUAGACUCACAGAACAAUUUAAAUUCCAUUACUGCAUGUAAAAUGCAUUCGUUACAUCACAGAUACAUGUGCCAACAGAAUACUUCCAAAAAUACAGUUACAAUCUGCAGCUGGAUAAAAUACUGUUGUUUACAUACACACACCCCACACGCCACCUGCACACUUUUACUGCUAAACCAAGUGCUCUGACUGGAAGUGACUUGCACUAUACUUUUAAAAGCAAACACCCUAAAGGCAAGUAACUGUAUAUUCCUUCCUCCUGUUGCGAAGUAUUUUAGGUUAGCGGCACAAUGCGGUUUCUUUAAGAAGAUUCUAGUCUCUCUUACCCUUACACAUGCCAUGGGAUCAGUGAGUGCCUUUAGAAAUUGAACUCAGGCCAAAGAGUAGUUGAUCUUCUAUGAGCGAAGCAAGAAAACCCUUUUUAAAAGGGCCCUUCACCUUUCCUAUGAAAGAAUAGGAAUCCUUCUCCCCACCCUAUUCCAUCACUCUAGUUCCCUGUUGCUGUUUAAGGAUAAAUGUAUUUAUUCUGCAACAGAAAGCCACUUGGUCUUCUUUCUGUAACCAGAACCUGUGUGGCCUCAGCAGAUGAGGGCGGCUGUAGACAGAGGCAAGGAGGAAGGUGGCCACACGGGAGGCUGUAUUCAUCAGAACCUGGCAGACGGUACCUGGGGCCACGAUGAUUGGCACUUACAUAGAGCAGCCGCACGUCUGGUAUCCCCGACAGUUUGGCUCAUCAACUGUGAUUCCAAGCAGAAGAAGUAAUUUUCUCUCAGACUCGCAUAGAAGCCAACAAACUCAGAAUACAGCCAUGAACUGUCAUAAUACUCAUCAACCACAAUCAAAUUACCAGAAGCCUUAAAAAUACUGCGAGGCUCCAUACUCCGAUAUAUUAUUUAAAGUCACAUACGUAUUUUAAAGUAAAAAUACUAUAUCAUGACCUAAGUAUAAAGAACUGCAACAAAGUUCCUUUUUUCCUAUGAUGACUUUUUUAAAUAUCCUAGGUAAAAUUCUAAAAUUUGCUUUCUGCUAUACCAAUGCCCUAAGCUUGUAUUUUGUCCGCAAAAUGAACAAUCUAAUACUGCCACCAACCAUAAUGCCUUUCCUUCUUCCACUGACAAAACUUAAUACGUAAAAUAUUUCCAAAAAGUGGCAUGAGUUGUUUGUUUUGAAACAGACCAGUCUCAAUUCUGGUUAACAACAGAUAAAUAUCAUUGAAGGGCUGGGACAUACCAGGGUUCAGCGUGCCUGGUCCACCCAGAUGGAGCUAUGAGUCUAGAACUUGGGAGAAACCUGGACUGGACUGGGGAGUCAAAUGGGCAGUUUAAUCAAGGAGAAGUGGAUGAAAGCCCAAGAGUGUGCAAAGUGUAAAAAGAUCAAAUACAGAACUCAACUGGAUAACCACAUUUUUAAGCAGGAUAAAGAGAGAAGAAAUAACUAAGAUCAAAGUCACAGGAGUUCCCCUCAUAGCUCAGC
rnacentral:lncRNA from 1 species